UUGAUGACGUUGUGGCGGUAUAUAUCGCAAACUUUGAUUACGAGCACACUUUUCAAGUGAUAUUUAUCGCACCGUAGCUACGUUAUAUAUCACGAGCAUUUCAACUGGUGAUACGAAGCGAAUGUGAGGUUCUACACAAUGGCCUUUGCUGCCUUUCUGCUAGCUAUCGAACUGGAGGAGAAGGCAGAGAAGAUUGUUAAGAAACCAUCAAAAUCCCUUCGAAUUGCCAGAUUGCACCCUCAUAGCAGUUGGAAAACCUUAGAAAAUGAAGAAACAUGAAGAAACGAGCUAUGCAAUUUAAUAAAUACUUUGUUAUCAAGUUUGUUGCAUUUAUUAAAGAAAUUGUGAAAAUAA